rnacentral:tRNA from 3 species
GCGCCGCUAGCUCAACUGGUAGAGCAACUGACUCUUAAUCAGUAGGUUCGGGGUUCAAGUCCCUGGCGGCGUACCA